rnacentral:lncRNA from 11 species
GCUGGAUUUCGUAUCACAAAAUCACAAGUCGAACACUUCCCAAGGGUCUAGGACUGUGUGAUGUAUUUUCGGAUGAUGCGUGCAGAUCCCAGUAGGGUGGCCUUUUGCAGUUGACAGAUCGUGAUUUUGUCAAUGUCUAUUGUUUCCAAAUGCCGGCUGAGAUCUUUUGGCACGGCACCCAAUGUGCCGAUCACCACCGGGACCACCUGCACUGGUUUCUGCCAGAGUCUUUGAAGUUCAAUCUUGAGGUCCUGAUAGCGGCUGAGUUUUUCCUGUUGUUUUUCGUCAAUGCGACUGUCACCUGGGAUGGCAACAUCAAUGAUCCAAACCUUUUUCUUUUCCACAACUGUGAUGUCUGGUGUGUUGUGUUCCAGAACUUUGUCAGUCUGGAUUCGGAAGUCCCACAGUAUCUUUGCGUGCUCAUUUUCCAAUACUUUUGCAGCUGAGGAUAUGAUCAAUGGUUUUGUCAGUUUCCUUGCACAAUCUGCAUUUUGGGUCAUCAGCUGAUUUUUCGAUCUUGGCCUGAAUUGCCUUUGUCCUGAUGUCUUGCUCCUGGGCUGCAAGGAUCAGGCCUUCUGUCUCCUUCUUCUGGGUCCCAUUCGUGAGCCAGAGCCAGGUCUUCUCCUUAUCAGCUUUUCCUUCAAUUUUGUCAAGGAACUUUCCGUGCAAUGUUUUGUUGUGCCAGCUGUCAGCUCUAGUUUGUAGUGCGGUUUUCUUGUC